UAUCAACUAACUUGGCUGGCCCUAAAUCGAAACUGAGUGUGGCCAGCUUAUCCUCAGACAUAGAUGUGCUGUCUGCUCUAAGCAAGGGCAUCCCAUGUUUAAGUGAGUGUGUUGAAGAAACAUUGCCAGUUCCUGAGACCCAGGACAAAGACCCGUAUGUUAACACGCCCCACGCUCAGAAUACUGAAGACACAUUAAGGACCUCUGAGGUAAAUCUGUUUUAAAAUAGUUUUACAUGAGAGGUACUCCUUGUAUACAGCUUUUGGCAAUGAUCGUAGAGCAGGCAGCCGGGGACCCAAUCAGGAGUGGCAAGAGAGGCUAGAAAGCCCAGCAGGAGAGGGCCGGAAGGAAGCACAGUGGGGACAGUUGGAGAAAACAAGGGAGAAGCACAGAGAAGCUGGGGAUAUUCUGAG